AUACGGCCGGCGUGGGGCAACCCCAGGAGGCUGCUGUUCCAUCCUGCUGGGGACAACAUCUUCGUUGCUAAGUUUGGUACCCAGGUGGACAGGGCCAGGGUGAUCGAGGGCUCGCCAUGGAUGGUAGGCAAACAUGUUGUUCUUCUUAAGGUCUUUGAUCUGAAUAUCCAUCCACUCCAAGUUCAGUUUGAUCGACUGGCCAUUUGGGCCCGCAUCAUGAAUCUGCCGCCAAGACUGAUGAAGGCUAAGCUCGGGAUGGAGUUUGCUAAACCCCUUGGUCGCAUUUCGAAGGUUGAGGCCGAUGCUGAUGGUCGCUGCUGGGGAGGAUUCAUGCGUGUUUGUGUGGAAAUUGAUGUAAAUGAGCCGAUCGUUCGCUAUGUAAUGGUGACUUCUACCAAGCUCCAAUCUACUAACACCUUCUCGGUGAUGUAUGAGCGGCUGCCGUUCCACUGUUUCUCUUGUGGCCGGCUAGGGCACUCGUCAGUUUUAUGCCCAAACCCGGGCACUAGAGAUGAGGUGGGUGAUCUUCCUUAUGCUGCUAAGAAGUUGUGUGUCCCCAAUGAUAGCUACAAGAGAUCUAGGGGAUGAAGAUCCAGUCAUAUGUCCUCCUUGUUGGGAGGUGACGGCACUGGAGGUGGAUCUGGCUCAUCUUCUACGAGCCGUCCAAAACCACAUGGCAGGGCUGGUGUCUCUGAUUUCGAGGGCAAAGUUUCCUCUCCUCCUAAGAGGGGGGGGGGAGGUAGAGGUCGUGUUGGAGUACAUGUUUCAUGGCAGAAUAUGCAUGGGUGGUUGGACCGGCCUACAUCUAGGGCUGGGACGAAAACCUUGCUUAAGUCCAAGACUCAAGCCAUUCCCACGUUCAUCUCAAGCUUGUUCCGACUUCCGGUGGUGAUCUGUGAGAGGUUCCAUCAGAUUGUGGCGGAUCAGUGGUGGGGACGGGAAGAUGGCAAGAAGAAGCUGCACUAG
rnacentral:rRNA from 1 species